AAAAAUAAUGGAAUACUAUUUCUGAUUGUUCUCUUCUUCAAUUUGAAAAAUGUUAUCCAAAUUAUUACCUACCUUGAAGAUACUUUAUCUUUGGGGAGGAGUAUGGGGAAGAAGGCAUACAUAAUUACUUAAGUGUAAUCCUUUAUAUCAGAGGAAUCUUACUGGAGCUAAAAUAGCAUUUGUCAAUAAAAUUUAAUUUCUCAUACUAGAAGCAAAAUUCUGAAGUAGUCUAGUAACAAAAAUUGUACAACUCUUUUAGAAAUAAAAUUUAUAAAAUGUUAGUGCUUUUAAGUUUAUAUUAAGUUUAAAUGGUAAAACGUAUUUAAUUUUUGUGUUAAUUUUUAUUUCAGAAAAUGUUUUUGAAAAAGAUUAAAAAUACUUUUUUAGUCUGUGAUCAAUACAAAAUUAUGCAAAGAAUUGUAUGCUGGUUUCUUUUCAUGUCUUCAGUGAUGUUCAUGUAUCUUGCAAUGCAAAAAAAUCCCUCUGCACCUACCGAUUUCUCCAGCCUUCUUCACUGCCAGACUUCUCGGAGAAAUCCAUAUCCAUUCUCCCUGCAUCCUCACCAUUCACUGCUCAGCACCUUGCAGCCUGGUGUAACAUAGCACUUCAGUGAAACUCUUCUCAGUGUGCUCUCAGUUACUGAAUUGAAUAAUUUUUUUUGCCCUCUGUCUGCGUUCCUCGUCCUCUGUCUCUGCAACAUUUACACCAUUUAGCAGCCUUUCCUAGACAGUGUUCUCCACCCUCGAAGAUGUUAUCCUCUGCCAUAACCGUGAGUACAGUCACACAGCUAUUAACUUAAAGUGUAUCUACUCAAAUGUGCUCUCAGAUUCUGUCUUCGGAAUGCUUCUGGAGGUAUCUCAUCCUUAGGGUUUCUGUUUUAUCCCAGCAUUCUCUGUUACGUAUCUGGUCCAAAAUUCUAGACCCAUACUUUCAAUUACCCACUUGACAUUUCCUAGAUGAAGUAUCAUAUUUUUCACCUUUCUUCUCUGUGAGCAGUUUUGGUUAAAGGUGCAGCCUUUUUUAUAGUCAAACACGCCAGAAAAUCUGGGAGAAACUUCUGCCCCCUUUUUUCUUAUGCUGCCACUGCUUCUGAAAACAUCCAGGAAAUUCUUUCUAUAUUUGAUAAUCCUCUCAAGUCUUUUAGGACUUAACUUCUGAGUAUGGACUUUUGUGAUUCUUCAUUUCAGUCUUCAUAAUGGUGCUCACCACAUGCUACAAUUGUUUAUUGAUGUCUGUGCCUGCUACGUUAUAAUCUCUUUUGAGGGAAGGAAUCUUGUGGGACUCUCCUGUUCCCAGCCUUUUCCUCAUAUGUAAUAGUUGCUUUACUUCUGUAUGUGAAUGGUCUGUUGUAGGCAUUAGUAAUAGUCCCCCUUAUAUGAUAGUCUAAAGUGUGUUUUAAAUAUAUUUCUUAAAGUUAUGACUGACUUAUGAAUGAAUCUACUCAUAAGGAAGUGAUUUGGUGUUUCAGAUACUUAUAUAUUAGGUAAUUUAGAUACUUAGUUACACUCAAUAUCUAUUCUACUGAACUUCAUAGUGAUUAGAGUGCUUUUAUUAAGACUUUGCUAGAAAAGAACUACACUGUAAGUAAAGGGGCUCUUAGUUUUAUCAUCAACUCGACUACUAAUUGUCCAGUGAGUUAGUUGUUAAUAUGCCUUAAGCUAUUUGCCUACAGCAAGAGUAAGGCAGCAUCUGGAAAUGUUAUUUGUAACUUGACUAUUUCAGAUGAAAUGGAAUAUGCUUUUGACAUGAUAUUGUUCUUCAUUUGUAAAUUUGCUGCUACUUUCUAUAUGUAUAUCUGUACAUACACGUACAGUUAUGAUUGAAAACCCAACAAUGCCCUAAUGUGAUUUUGUUUCGUAGCAUCAUAGUGUACUUAGAGUACACAUGAAGGAAGUGACUGCAGUCUGUUUGAAAUCAUGAGUUCUUUGUACAUCAUAAAUUGACAUUGGUCCACAACUGGAGGAAGAACCAUCAUUUCUACAUGCCAUCUAUUGGUAUAUGCCACAACUUUCCACAUCACUUUAGCUCAUCUCAGGGAAUUCUUGGAGUGUUCAUUGGGCUAGUUUUGUUUUGUUUUUUGUUUUGGUUUGGGGGAUUUUUUUUCCUCUUGCCUUCUUAUUGUGUAUUUGCUCCUCUCUUAGCUCAAUAUAUAAGUUUUGACAGCUGUUCUUCACAUGUCUGACCCAGCAGAUGCAAAGAUGGUACCUUAAUUUCAGAAAAAAAUUGACUUCAUUCCCAGUUCCCAUUGUUGGCAACACAUUGCUGAUGGUGAUGAGACGGCUCACCCUGCCAGCCAGGAUGAUGAUGGCAGGUCUAGGCUUCAUCACUGGGUACAGGAUUGGAUACUACUCUCACUUUAUAGGCAUUUAAAUUAGCCAGGUUGCUGAGUGUUACCUAGUGUUGCGUGUUGUUUCAUUACCCCAUCAGUUGAAAUAUGGAGUGUGCUGUUUAGUUUAUUAUUGUUGCUGGCAGAAUCUAAGGUGAACAUGACAAUUACUUUUCUGAUAGUGCUGCACAAACCAUACUCUCUGAUCUAAACCUAUUGUAACCAGUGAUGUGAUUGUGACAGUCUAUGAACGUAUUUCAUGGUAUAGUCAGAGGAAGAACUCAGAAUCCUCUACUACAUUGUACGUUCCCUGCCAGAGAGGUUGGAGAUUGCUGUGUACUUUUCCCAUAGUAAAACCCUGUGGUUACUAGGAACUGCACAUGCUCUGGUUGCUAAGUUCUCCACAUCCUAAACUAUUGAAAAUGAUAUGGGGAACUAUCAUCAGUAAAUAUCAGUGACAAGAGUUAGCGUGAUUGAGAUAACUUUGGUUAAAUCCCCAAAAGAGAAAUCCUCUAGAAUUAAGAAGAUGGGCUGAAACAUACCUGCCGAGUUAACCUAAUUAGAAAACUUUCCAAGGUUAACUCUCAGUUCUGAAAAUAGAAAGCUUCAAUUGAAGAAAAUGGAAAAUACACUCCUGGUAUGGAGGGCAGCAGAUACCUUGAUGAGGCAAAAUUAAGUACUGAUUUAACAUCUGAUAUUAUGUGGCUUCAUUGUGUGCUUUAGAAAUGUCUGCGUUUAGCCAAGAAGCAUAAAUAGUGGCAAGAAUAGUAAAGAUCAUAAAAAAGCUAAAGUAAGAGCUGUACUGAAUAUAAUGGAAAGAGUGGAGUUUGAAUAUCUGAUUUCAGAAUCUGGCUUUGCCAUUUACUGACCUUUGUAAAAAUUACUCAACUUUUCUGCGUCUAUAAAUACAAUCAUACUAAAAAAAAUGUGUUGAAAAUUAUGAUGUUAUCCAAAGUGGAAGGAAUUAUUACUAUGAUUAUAUUUUCAGAAUGGAAAAUAGAGCAUUCUUUAAUCUUGCUCUUUUCUCAGAUGACGAGCAUGGAGUUGUGGGAGACAUGGCACAUUGUUUAUGCUCACCUCCCUGAGCUCCAUUUCCCCUACAUUCAGAAUUACAUACUGGAAAUACUAAGGGUGGAGUUGGUGAGCUCAUCAGUAAAUAACAGGACUCCUAAAUCUGACAGAUUAACUCUUUUAUGGCAGGAUGGUAGACCAGCGAGAUGGAAGACAAGUGAGGAGUAUCAUCUACUUUGAGGUUGACAGGACAUGACAGAGUGCCAUUAAAAAAUAAGUAAAGUAAGCUCUUAAGUUUCUAAAUUGACACUGGUCGGAAGAAUCUGAUGAUUAUCUUGCUAUGAGAUCAAUAAUGAAAUUUUCAGUGGCAUUGUUUGGUAAGUGUUGCACCCUCAAAUUCUCCAACAUUUUAUAAAACUUUUCAAACAUAGAAAAAAGUUAAAAUUUUACAAUGUAUUCAUCACCCAGGUGAUAGUUAGCAUUAGCUAUGCUUGUGUUAUACCUGUCCACCCAUCAGUUCAUCAAUCCAAAUUAUUUUUUAUGCAUUUUAAGUUGCAGACAGAUUUACAUUUCCUACUAAUAACUUCAGCAUACAUAGCAACUGGAGCUCAAUAAUAUGCUUACCACAUUUUUUAUGUAGAAUUAGCAUACAGUGAAAUGCAUAAAUCUUAAGUGUGCAUCACUGAGUUGUGGAAAAUGUAUACAGUACUAUGAAAAUGUAAAGCGUUCUCAGAAAAUUCCCAUUUUGCCUUUUCCAGUCAAUCCUUGACCCCACACCCUCCCAAAGGCAACUACUGUUCUUUUGUCUACCACAAAUCAAAAUUUGUGUGUUCUAGAUCUUUAUGUAAAUAGAGCCACACAGCAUGUAAUCUUUCUAGAAGCCUCUUCACUUACUAUGUUUUGGAGGUUUAUCCAUGUUAGGUGUAUUAGUAGUUCAUUCCUUUUUAUUGCUGAGUAUUCUUCCAUUGUAUGACUGUAUUGCAGUAUAUCCAUUUUCCUAUUUAGGAAUACCUGGGCUGUUUCCAGCAUUAGUAACUAUAAACAAAGCUGCUAUGAUUAUUCAUAGGUCUUAUGUGAAUGUAGGCUUUCGUUUCUCUUGGAUGAAUACCUAGGGUUAGAAUUUCUGUGUCAUAGGGUAGUUUUAAAAGAAACUGCUAUACCUUUUUCAAUGUGGUUAUAGGGUGUCCUGGAUUUUCACUCUAUUUUGGAUGUGUAGAAAGGUGUAAACUAUUUUUAUGAUCCAUGUUUGAAAUUUUAGAAGUGGGUUUGUGAUAGAAAUGGCAUUGUUAACAUGGUUGGCAGUUGGUGUUUUUUGAGAGAAGAAAUACCUGUCUGCCCCAAGUAGCUCCCCAACGGGUAUAUAUGCCUGAAAUUUUAGCAUUAGUUUCACUUCUUGAAAGAUUCAAGCACUUCCCAAGUAUGGUGAUACAUUAGCUAGAAGAAACAGCACUGGUUUGUUUAUGUUACUAACUUUGCCACCUGUUUUCAAUAAGUGAAAUAAGACCGAUUAAACAAAAGAUUAUUUCUGUUCAAUUGGGGUAGAAGGGGUAGUCAAAAACAUAUGCUACUAGUCUGUCUUGGGUACAGCAAUGUGAGACAGAACCAUCUGGAUGGGAUAGCCCCCCCAAUUGGUCAAGAAACCAGAAAACAGGGUGGGAAGAAUUCUACCUCACUGUUGUGAUAGGGGAUAGCUAUGUUUUUUGCAGGACAUUUUAGCCUUUACAAAUCGUAUUUUCUGUGUUUUUUGUUUGUUUAGCACCACCCAGCUGUAAUUAUUUCACACCCUAGUGACUUUGUUAUUCACUGUUCUUUUACCCUUCCUCCCUGUUAAAUUACAUAGAGCAGUCACCUGUAUAAACCUGUAAAAUUAUAAUCAUAUGUAUGUUUCUAAUGCCUGUGUUCAAAGAUUUUAUGUAUGGUUCAUCCAAUCUUUCCUACUCAAUUUUUAAGGGCUGGGAUAUUUGGCCUCUACUGUAAACCCCUAUAAUGUUCCACACAUUGUAAAUGCAAUAAAAAUGUUAAAAACUAU